rnacentral:SRP_RNA from 1 species
CCGUGCAGGGUGGGGGGGUAGCGGUCCCCUGGUUCCAAAACCCGCUAUACGUGGAGCCCAUGGGCCCUCCGAGAGGCGGGGUGGCGGAAGCGGCCCGGGAGAGGCGGCGAUGACGGCCGAGCCCCCUGCGACGCAGGCCGGUAAACCCCGCCAGGCCCGGAAGGGAGCAACGGUAAGCCGUAACCUGCGGGUGAUAGGGGACCCCUUGGCCCGAGCCUACCGCCCGGGCGCGCCCGGAGGCCUUGGCCCCGACGGGGGUCCGCACGG